UCUAGAGCUUUAGUCUGGCUUCUCCGGGGAGAUGUUGGCUUUUUCUUCAGAUAACAACUGUUCUGCAGGGAAGCAGGAUGUCAGUGGAAGACAGACACGGAAGCCAUGGACAGACGUUGACAUGUAGUGUCAAUAUACUGAGAAAGCAGCUCUUAGAAGAAAGAACAGAGAUGAUACUGAGAAAGUACUAAAGAUCAGAUACCCAGAAGUGCAAACAAAUGUCAUCUAUUUAAGUAACCCACACAAUCCAAGAAGCAGUCUGAAGGGAGUUUGAUGCUAAAUUGCUCUGAAGACUUGGGAGGUAAAUCCUAAUCGUGUCAAAGAUUUGGCACAAAGACAUGUUUCAGGGUGAGUUAAUAAACAAACAUGCUGAUGGAUAGUAGUGAUAAGA